GACGAACGCUGGCGGCGUGCUUAACACAUGCAAGUCGAACGGAAAGGCCCUGCUUUUGUGGGGUGCUCGAGUGGCGAACGGGUGAGUAACACAUGAGUAACCUGCCCUUGACUUUGGGAUAACUUCAGGAAACUGGGGCUAAUACCGGAUAGGAGCUCCUGCUGCAUGGUGGGGGUUGGAACGUUUCGGCGGUUGGGGAUGGACUCGCGGCUUAUCAGCUUGUUGGUGGGGUAGUGGCUUACCAAGGCUUUGACGGGUAGCCGGCCUGAGAGGGUGACCGGCCACAUUGGGACUGAGAUACGGCCCAGACUCCUACGGGAGGCAGCAGUGGGGAAUAUUGCACAAUGGGCGGAAGCCUGAUGCAGCAACGCCGCGUGCGGGAUGACGGCCUUCGGGUUGUAAACCGCUUUCGCCUGUGACGAAGCGUGAGUGACGGUAAUGGGUAAAGAAGCACCGGCUAACUACGUG
rnacentral:rRNA from 1 species